AUUGAACGCUGGCGGCAGGCCUAACACAUGCAAGUCGAGCGGAUGAAGGGAGCUUCCCCUGGAUUCAGCGGCGGACGGGUGAGUAAAGCCUUGGAAUCUGCCUGGUAGUGGGGGAUAACGUUCGGGAACGGGCGCUAAUUCCGCAUACGUUCUGGGGGAGGAAGGGGGGGGUCUUUGGGACCUACCCCAACAAGUGAAGCCUAGGUCGGAUUAGCAAGUUGGUGGGGUAAAGGCCUACCAAGGCGACGAUCCGUAACUGGUCUGAGAGGAUGAUCAGUCACACUGGAACUGAGACACGGUCCAGACUCCUACGGGAGGCAGCAGUGGGGAAUAUUGGACAAUGGGCGAAAGCCUGAUCCAGCCAUGCCGCGUGUGUGAAGAAGGUCUUCGGAUUGUAAAGCACUUUAAGUUGGGAGGAAGGGCAGUAAGUUAAUACCUUGCUGUUUUGACGUUACCAACAGAAUAAGCACCGGCUAACUUCGUG
rnacentral:rRNA from 1 species